AUACCUUUCUCGGCCUUUUGGCUAAGAUCAAGUGUAGUAUCUGUUCUUAUCAGUUUAAUAUCUGAUAUGUGAGUCAUCGACUCACACGAUAUUAACUUUAUUUUUUAAGGGGGGAAGAUCUAUCAAGGUAGCUUGCUACCUGGGUCUUUGCACGUCGCCCAUGCGUUGCACUACUGCACGGGCCUGGCGCACCCCAC